rnacentral:rRNA from 1 species
UACGUAGGGUGCGAGCGUUAAUCGGAAUUACUGGGCGUAAAGGGCGCGUAGGCGGCUCUACAAGUCACUUGUGAAAUCUCCGGGCUUAACUCGGAACGGUCAAGUGAUACUGUCGAGCUAGAGUACAGAAGGGGCAACUGGAAUUCUCGGUGUAGCGGUGAAAUGCGUAGAUAUCGAGAGGAACACCUGCGGCGAAGGCGGGUUGCUGGGCUGAUACUGACGCUGAGGCGCGAAAGCCAGGGGAGCGAACGGG